GACGAACGCUGGCGGCGUGCCUAAUACAUGCAAGUAGAACGCUGAAGAGAGGAGCUUGCUCUUCUUGGAUGAGUUGCGAACGGGUGAGUAACGCGUAGGUAACCUGCCUUGUAGCGGGGGAUAACUAUUGGAAACGAUAGCUAAUACCGCAUAACAAUGGAUGACACAUGUCAUUUAUUUGAAAGGGGCAAUUGCUCCACUACAAGAUGGACCUGCGUUGUAUUAGCUAGUAGGUGAGGUAAUGGCUCACCUAGGCGACGAUACAUAGCCGACCUGAGAGGGUGAUCGGCCACACUGGGACGGAGACACGGCCCAGACUCCUACGGGAGGCAGCAGUAGGGAAUCUUCGGCAAUAGGGGCAACCCUGACCGAGCAACGCCGCGUGAGUGAAGAAGGUUUUCGGAUCGUAAAGCUCUGUUGUAAGUCAAGAACGGGUGUGAGAGUGGAAAGUUCACACUGUGACGGUAGCUUACCAGAAAGGGACGGCUAACUACGUG
rnacentral:rRNA from 1 species